rnacentral:lncRNA from 1 species
GUUUCAAGGGUGGGGAGUCUUGCUUCCUGAUGUCUUGCAGUCAGCAGGGAUCGACAUCUUGGCAGGUCACGCCCAUCUCAGGUGCUAUGCGGGAUCUUUGGCAGAGCUUGACGGGGAAGUUCACCUGCAUCAGGUGGUCAGUCGCUGUGGGGGUGCCCCAGGGAGUUCCCAAUGCCAGACUUAUCCCUUCACGAGGAUACUGUGUGCAACACAGUCCACACACAGCCCACGGAGGGCUUGUGACAGAUGGGUAUACAGUAAAGGGGGCCAGGUUAACUUCAGUGUAGCUCUAUGUCAGGGAGAAAACCCUCAUUGCAGCAGUGAGACAGUCUGAGAGAAAAGCAAUGGCCUUUGCUACUACCCAGCAUUUGGCCACGGGCUGUCACAGCUACAAAGGCUUGGCAAGGGGACUGCCUGUGCUUCCUGUCCGCUGGCCAUCAGGGCUCACAAGAAUUCAUUCACCACUUACCGGUGCACAACCCAUCUCAAGCACAGCUCUUCCUCUCUAAUGCCCCCCCCCCCAGAAAAGCAUAGAAAAACCAAUGAAAGAAGGGCCAAUUGUUUCCCAUCAAGCCUUUGGUGUC